GGAGAAAGUAAAUAAUAAGAGAUAAAUAGAUGGCACAUCUGAGCUUUAUAUUUCAGUUUACGUGUAAAGAAAAACACAAGAUAUUUGUUUUUCACUGAAUUUUUAUGGCAUCCAUAUAUUUAUACACAGAGCUAUAUACUACAAGUGGUAGCAUUAAAUUUACAAAAAUGACAUCAUUAGCCAGAACCACUGCGAAGAGAGACGCUUUGAGAGGCCUUGAAUGUUACACAAUACUAUCCAUGCUUAAAGACAGACACAUUGUUAAAAAAACCAAAAAAAAAACAAACCAAAAACGUCAGUUAUCUAAAGAUGUUAUUUUUUUUCCCCCUCAAAAUGACAAUGUAGUUUGUUCCACUUUUUUAAAUUUUUUAUUAAUAUUUUUAAUUUAAAACAACAUAUAGACAAUAUUGCUAAAUUUAUCAUGCAAAGACCAGGUGUCCACAUGCUUCUCAAAUCUCUCUUACACAACAUCAUUAGGACGGUAUAGUCUGAAAACCAAUUUUUUUGAACAGGUGAUACACAAUAAAUUUUGAUGUUUUCUCGGAUGUCUGUAUUUUAGUGCUGCAAACCUAUUGUUAAUGAGGACUUCAAUCAAAGUAAGACUUCCUAGUAGGAAACAAAUAUAAUAACGGAAAUUAAAUAGGAUUGGUGAUAUGAGUCCGCAUCGGACAGACUCACCUGUUAUGGAAGUAUGGUACCUAUACAGCAGAAACUCUUUCAAAAUUUACAAAAGUAGAUUUUGAGUAUAAAUUAGGGCAUUUAACAAUGGCAUUCAAGGUUUUCAUUGACUACAUUUCUAAGAUCUGGCUAAGCAUUAUGGGAAAUGUAAAGGCCUAUUAUUACCUGCAGUGCCACGGUGUGCCAACCCUGAACAGAGGCAGUGAUAUCUAAACUUCACAUCUCAACAAUUAUGGACCAAAUGCCAGAUGCUCAUGGUAACAGUAGCCCACAAUAAGGGGAGUUGUAACAUGCUCACCAUAGUUGACCAAUUGAGAUCAGAAAUCCAAUUAAUGCUAGCAGUUCUUGAAAUGUAUACAUUUGUGCUUAUUUAUAAGCUCUCUGCCUAAAAUAUUAAAUAUAAUAACAUUUGAAGACAGGCAGAGGUUUCAACAAGAACCUUCUAGCUGGAACUGCAACUCAUAUAAUGCAGUGCCAUAAAAUGGCUACUUUGGCAUUACAAGACUUGAUCAAUAACUGCUAGACCACCAUGUGUUGGCCAAACAUCCUUUCGUAUAACUUGCUAAAAACCAUUCCUGUAAGUUUAAGAAUGCCAGCUCUAGAAUGAGCAUUACAAGGAAAAUACCAUGAAAAUGUUUGCUUUCAAUUAAAUGAAAUAAAAUAAUAAAUUACAGAAAAAUAUUUUUAGAUAAAUAUAUAAUUUCAUAAAAUGUUUCUUCAUAAAUCACUUGUGCUUUCAUCUAUAUAUCAUUCUUCUAAGAAAAUUCAUUAUAAUCUCUUCUCCAACUCACUUCAUGCUGUCUAAAUCCUGAUCAGAAUCCACUAUAGAAGAAAAAAAAAAAAAAAGACACCUGUCCCUUGCAAUCGAGAACAAAAAUAAACACCUUAGAGGACCAGAUUAAUAGGUAAUGUAAUGGUUCUGGUGUCUAUAGCAUGUCCCUGCAGGGUUAGCAAUGGAAAUGCUGCCUAUUCAGAGAAAAGGCAGUGCAUUGCUGCCUAGGAGCAUCUCUACAUUGUGCAGUACUGGUGUUCAGUAUCUCCACUCACUGCAUGGAGGCACUGAACGUUCCCCCUAGAGAUGCAUUGGCUUAUCUCUACAAGGAGAUAACCUUCUAAUGCUUUCCUAUGGGAAAGCAUUGCAUUCGCUGAGAUCAUCAAGGUUAAUGAUUUCAGCCAUGGAGGGGAAGUCAGGUGGAGCGUAGCAUAAGAGGUGAGUAAAAUCGCCUUUUCAAUGAGAUCUUAAUAGUUUAACUUGUUUGUAUUCCUUACACUAUAGUGUUUCUUUAAAUAAUUGACUUUAUGCUGCAUUUCACUUAAGUGCACGAAUAGAUUUUUCAUGGUAGUGUCCCUAGAAAAUUAAAAGUGAUACAAAUUGUUUGUGUUUAUCAACUUCAAUUAUAUUUUUAGUUAAAGCAGCAAUAAGGAGAAAACUACAGCAAAUAUACAAGUAUUAAGAUUAUUUUGGAAUUUACAUAAAUAUGUAACUAAUUCUAUCCUUUGACUUGCAAAGCUUAGUAAUGCAAUGUAAUGUUUUUAUUUAGAAGUAAGCAGGGUGAAGAAAGAUUGGUCGUUUUGUCAUCAAAGACCUUUAAUUUCUACAUGCAGCUGCCGGCCCGUUAAAUAGAAGUUAAAUUAAAACAAAUUGAUCAGAAGUGAUCCAGAAGAAUUGCAGAUGCUUCACUGAUAAAAAGGUCACUCGGUGCACAGUCACUCCAUUGCAUGAUUAAAAAGGUAAUGGUGCCAAUUAUCAACUCUUAAAAUUGCUUAGAACUGCAGCAAUUUGUAAAAACAGAGUCUUGAAGUACCAGGCUGUCUAUUACAAUUUUAUCCAACCUGUACACGUACAUCUUCAACUGAGAGAACCUGACUUUAGACUAAUGCGGUUCAUUAAACAGCGAGAACCAGGUUAUUGGUAAAGGGAUAGCAGCCAUGAUAUGGUACCCAAAGCACUUCCACCUAUCCUAGUGAUGAGUGGAACUGAUCUUGGGGAAUAUACUACUUAUCCCAUGAACUUCUGUUGUGCAAGACCUUACAAUAUAAGAGGCUCUUCCUUGUCAGGGAGGGGUAUGGUUGCAGCUUUAGGCAAAUUCACCAAAAGGGGCUCUGAAGAAAAAACUUUGUGGAUAUGUAUAUUUUACAUUAUAUUUAAAUGCAUUAUCUAUAUAAUGCAUUAAAAAAAUUGGGAUUUUUAACCAAUAAUUUUUCAAUUUUUCAUAACAUACAUUUUCUGUGCAAACAUGCAAGAUAUUAGGUUUGCCACCCUUCUGCUAACAUCCUGGCCAGUCGGCUGUCAGUGCAGGUCCGCACCUCCAACUUUUGUGCAGACCCCACUAACUGCUCCUUGCCAGUCUCUGAAUGGUAGUGAGCAUUGGUAUAGAGCUGUUCCCAGCCAAAUGACCAGACCUGCACUGUAAGCAGCACUGGGAGAUCUCCCCAACAGUCAGCGCAGCUGCAGGAGAACUUAACAGAGCUGGUGUUACAAUAUUAGCUCAGACUCUGCUGCCUUGGACCCCAAGGGGACAGUUUGCUAACUACAUUUGUUUGUAUAAGUUACAUUUUGCUUUCAAUAUAAAAAAAAACAUGUAAUUGUGCAUACCUUGAGAAUCGAGCAUAUACGAGUCCCAUAGUGAAGGUGUUUCAGGGUAAAAAUUGCUCCUGUUUCUUAAUAUAUUAUAUAGAUAUAGAUAGGCCCUAGAACUACUACAGCUUAAUGUAGUGGAUCUGGAGCAUGGAGACUGCCCCUGCAGGCAGAGCAUUUUAAACACUGCUUUUUCAGCCUUCAGUGGCUGUCAUACGGAAAGCCACUAGAGGGAGCUUCUUGAAUGAGGUUCUGCAAAGAUUACAAGAUUGAUUUUUGGCGUCUUGACUCAAUGCAUCUCUAUGAGAAGAUGCUGACUGGCGCAGCAUGGUGAUUUCUGCGCAUGUGCACUAACCACCCCCAAUACUUCCCAAUGGGGAACCAUUACCAUUGAAUUGGCUGAAAUCAUUAGUAUUGAUGGCCUCAGCCAUAGGAGGAGGGGUGGCCGCAGCAAAAAGGUGGUUAUAACUGGGGAGGCACACAAUCUAACACUGUAGCGUUAGGAAUACAUGUUUGUAUUCUUAAUGCGAGCCUGUUCCUUUAAUAAUGAUAUUUACUGGGAAUUCCUGACAAUUCCAUUAAUGCAAUAGCAACAUUGAGUCCAGAAAAAAAGUAUAUGCUUUUGAAAGGGUUUACUGACUUGUUCUGGAGCCUGUUUACAGGGUCUCUACAAAGUGCUGUGCAAUUCUCCAAUUAAUUACUUUUCUGGUGUUCUAGUUAAUUUGUCUUUUUAAAAUAGAAUAAUACCAUAGUGUAAAACAAAUACAACAUGCUACAAAAGCCUCCUACACUUUAGGGUGAGUUACUUGCAGAACGCUGAAAUAGUUUGAUUUAUGUAGGGAGUUCCUCUAGUGAAACAAUUGGCAGAGGUUGGUUAAAAGGCUAGUGCAACAAUAAAGACAGAGAAAAGGAUCAGGCAUGAUGUGUAUUCUUCAAGAUGAAGAGUAUCUAUAUAUAUAUAUAUAUAUAUAUAUAUAAAAUCUGCAAGGCCGGACGCCUUGUUUCAUUAAACAGGAGAUGACAUGUACAAAGUAAAAUGUUUCACCCAGUCUACUAAAGUGUAAUUUCAGAUGUUUUAUUGUUAUCAAGAUAUGGAAUUGUUGAUACGUACAUUUCUCAAUGCUUCUCACUUGGUCCUGAAUGGGUGGAGUCUUAUUUGUAUAAAGCAACAAUCAAAGCACCAUAACAUGCUGUAGUGGAUAUGCUGCCGCUUGUGCCAUGGUGCCCUCCCAAUGAAAGUAGUAGUACCUAGGGUCUGCUGGUUUCCACUACCUGCCUUUCUGCUCUCAGCCAAAGAGCAAACCGUGCACUGUUUGCAGCGGGUACCUCUCUAAAUUGGACUAAACCAAACAAGGCAGGGUUUGCUCAUUGGCUGACAGUAUCAACUGAUUGCAGUGGGUACCUCUCUAAAUUGGACUAAGCCAAACAAGGCAGGGUUUGCUCAUUGGCUGAGAGGAUCAACUGAUUGCAGUAGGUACCUCUCUAAAUUGGACUAAGCCAAUCAGUUAAUACUCUCAGCCAAUGAUCAAACCGUGCCCUGUUUGGGAAGGUUUUAGGGAGGUCCCUGCUGCAAUUAGUUGCUGCUCUCAGCCAAUGAGGUGGUCCUACACUACAGGGCAUAUUGCGAGGGCUAAUGUAACGUCUUAGCAAGAGCUUCUGGCUCUCCAUAGGUAAAUAGGAAAGGCAGGGAUGGGCACCUGUAAUAUCAAAGUAACAAUUUUUUGCAAUAAAAAUAAAUAAAAAAUCAUAGCUUUUUAAAUUCCUCACGCUCUACUUUAUCAUUACUUUUAUUCUUCCAUGUGAUAAGAUGUCAUUAUUGCCAAAGGAGUCUUGGCACCAAGAAAUUGACCUUAGCUUUAAGUGUUCUCCGAGCUAAGCCUUUAAGUAGCUGCCAGUGCAGCGGAACCACCUUUGGCAUGGUUCCACGUAAUAAGGGGCCAGGCAGAGUUAUGCAUUUUGCAAACUCAGACAUGAGUGAAAAUAAUUUAUCUGCCAAUUGCUUCAUGGAUGAAAGCAGAGGGUAUGAACCCAUGGGCACAAUGGACAGGACUUAGGGACACUGAAUAAGCAGAAUAAGACAAAUAGACGAUGGAGGAACCCAACAAAACCCUCUAUACCCACUCCCACACACAGAGAUUAAUUAAAGACGUUAUUAAACUUUUUGGUAGAAAUCAGUCUUUCAAGGAACCACAAUCUGUAUUAUACAUGGAGAGAACUACAUAGUGGCUGUGUUUCUCACAAUGGAUGGAGUUUGCAAGUCAAAGAAAGAUCCUACUACUUUCCACUAACAGAAAACAGAAAGAUCCCAAAACAUUUAUUAUGUAAACACUCCUCAUACUGGACAAGGAAUGGAUUCUCUAAAAGUUAUAUAUAUUUAUAUCAUAUGUCAGUAUUUU